rnacentral:rRNA from 1 species
GACGUAGGGCGCGAGCGUUGUCCGGAUUUAUUGGGCGUAAAGAGCUCGUAGGCGGCUUGUCGCGUCGACUGUGAAAUCCCGCGGCUCAACUGCGGGUCUGCAGUCGAUACGGGCAGGCUAGAGUUCGGUAGGGGAGACUGGAAUUCCUGGUGUAGCGGUGAAAUGACGCAGAUAUCAGGAGGAACACCGGUGGCGAAGGCGGGUCUCUGGGCCGGAUACUGACGC